UUCUAAUCGAAAAGUCUCAACGUCCUCGUUGAGAGUCGCUCUGCGAGACGUCCAAUAGUCUCUGACUUUGUCUUCGAAUCGUAAUACUGUCUUAGCCCAUUCCCAGCUUGCCUCGCUCUCAGGUUGGCCCUUCUACUUGACUAAGUAGUAUUCAACUCGUGCAAUGGCAUCAACUGUUCAA